GAUGAACGCUAGCGGCAGGCCUAAUACAUGCAAGUCGAACGGUGUCUUCGGACAUAGUGGCGCACGGGUGCGUAACACGUAUGCAACCUACCUUACAUUGGGGGAUAGCCUUUCGAAAGGGAGAUUAAUACCGCAUAAGACAGUAGCUGGGCAUCCAGCAGCUGUUAAAGAUUUAUCGAUGUAAGCUGGGCAUGCGUCCAAUUAGCUAGUUGGUGAGGUAACGGCUCACCAAGGCAAUGAUUGGUAGGGGAACUGAGAGGUCAAUCCCCCACACGGACGCUGGGAUACGGGCCAGACGCCUACGGGAGGCAGCAGUAGGGAAUAUUGGGCAAUGGACGCAAGUCUGACCCAGCCGUGCCGCGUGCAGGAUGAAGGCGUUAUGCGUUGUAAACUGCUUUUAUACAGGAAGAAACGACUCUUGCGAGAGGCAUUGACGGUACUGUAUGAAUAAGCACCGGCUAACUCCGUGCCAGCCGCCGCAGUAACAC
rnacentral:rRNA from 1 species